AUUGAACGCUGGCGGAAUGCUUUACACAUGCAAGUCGAACGGUAGAGGGGGCAACCCCUCGAGAGUGGCGAACGGGUGAGUAAUAUAUCGGAACGUGCCCAGUCGUGGGGGAUAACGUAGCGAAAGUUACGCUAAUACCGCAUACGAUCUAAGGAUGAAAGCGGGGGAUCGCAAGACCUCGCGCGAUUGGAGCGGCAGAUAUCAGAUGAGGUAGUUGGUGGGGUAAAGGCUCACCAAGCCAACGAUCUGUAGCUGGUCUGAGAGGACGACCAGCCACACUGGAACUGAGACACGGUCCAGACUCCUACGGGAGGCAGCAGUGGGGAAUUUUGGACAAUGGACGCAAGUCUGAUCCAGCCAUUCCGCGUGCAGGAUGAAGGCCCUCGGGUUGUAAACUGCUUUUGUACGGAACGAAAAGGUCUCUCUUAAUACGGGGGACUCAUGACGGUACCGUAAGAAUAAGCACCGGCUAACUACGUGACAGCCGCCGCCGUAA
rnacentral:rRNA from 1 species